rnacentral:lncRNA from 1 species
CUGGCUCCAAGGAGAUUUCACAGCAAUGCCUCCAGACUUCAUAACACGGACAUCUGGGAUAUUUAUCUGCUCCCUUAAUGGCCCAGGCCCCUCUCUGUAACAGAAGAAGACUAUAUGGGAUGGCAUUUUGGAGAAUGGUCUCUACGAUACAUGGAUCCUGGAUAUUGCAACUUAACUAUGGAUUUAUGGCCCCCAGCUUACCAAGAGUUUGUACCAUUGCCUAAGCCUACAGCACUGUGGGGAAACUGGAAAACCAUUGACUCAAUCACAGACAAAUGGGUCAACCACAUUCUGGCCUUACAGACCUACAGAUAUCACCAGAUUCCUUCUACCGCCUCCAACCCCUAAUCGAUGUCUCCAUUCAGCAGGAAGAAGCUACAGAAGAAGGGACCUUUGUCCCUCUUUCCUGUUAAAAUCAGGGAGGAAUCUUAGGUGGGAACUAAAGGGAAGGUCUAAAAAAUAAGUCGCCAUGAUUCAUUGACCCACCCAGACCCAGACUUGCAGUCUCCAUGUUAUUGCACCUCUGCAGGUGAAAACCACCAAGCCUAUGAAGUGGUUGAUUUUCCAAGGACAAAGACAGCCCCAAGGAGAAAGCUAAAUUUUAUAUCAUGAUCUCAACUGCCAUCCUGGACCUAGAGAACUCAGCACAUGACUGCCUGCCUAUAAAACCUGAUUCUCUCCCAAUGACAGGGGGCCUGAGUUUUACUUUUUCAGUGCUCCCCGCCACCCUGUUGGUCAAUAAACCAUGCUUGCAAUCUCA